rnacentral:lncRNA from 1 species
CGCAGCUGGACACUUCUACUGACUCCGUUCCCGUCAUCGUGGAGUGGUCGUCGAAGCAGCUGGGAAACCGCAGUUAGAAGUCAAAAGGUCGUGCCUGCCCUCUAGUGGUUGUGGAUGUUGACACACGUGUUUGUGCCGGUGUUCGCGAUGUCCUUUUUCAAGUGUGUGCAUACCUUCGUUCGUCGCGACGUGCCCGCCGAGAACGUGCGCUUCCCGUCAGCCAAUCCAGAACGAAGCUGCAGAAGGCGCUUGCUGACACCGUCUCCAUCGCCGAGGGCGGAUAUUCUGCUGCACGUUUCCGACGCUGCGGCGAGCCGGCAUCGUGGCGACAUUUGACAAGAUGUGUUCUUGAUUCGCGGUGUGUUUUGUUUUGUGGCCGAUCACGAUGUGUGUUCUUCUCUGGAUGUGCGUCGUCAUCGCGACGUCUCCCGUGAUGAAGGUCUCCUGUCAGCUCAGCGAAAACGAAGGACCUUACCGACAAAGAGGCUACGUCGACUUCCUAAGACG